AUGCAGCUGUCAGCUAUCAUUGACCUGGUCCAGGAAGGCUACUGUCAAAGGUCACACCUUGAUCCUCAGGACAUGACUACAAACCUCAGAUUCAGAGAUGCCAGUGUGCUAGAAACUUCUCCAGACCUUUUGAAACUCACAAGACACUUUCAAUGGAAAAAUUUUGGUCAUGGAACAGAAGUGACUGUACUCCCACGAGAUGAGACACAGCUGAAGGCGUCAGGAGGAGGCUCACACCCAGCUGGAAAGACCCUGAGUCUCCAGUGCCAAGCAUCUGGCUUCCUGUUUAAUACAAGCCAACUAAGCUGGUAUCUUUGGGUUCCUGGAGGUGCCCCACUGUGGCUGACCAGUCUUGACCAUCGAUUUUCAAAAGUCAGUGGGGACCACAUCACUUCCAGAAGAGAGGACACCAACAGCCAGAUUUUUCACCAGAUCAAGAACCUUAGCCUUAGAGACUCUGGCUACUAUCAUUGUGCAAGGAGGAUGGGUUAUGGAGAUGACACAGACAAGUUGAUCUUUGGUUCUGGGACAGAUGUGACUGUGGAACCCGGACCUCGGGACCCUUUGUCACCCAGUGUGUUUGUGGUGAGGAGUCAGGAUGCUGUGGCCUGCCUGGUCAGUGACUUUUACCCCAAGGAGAUUGAUGCAUCCCUGUCCUCCCUUGGGGCUUCAGUCUCAGCCCAGGCCCUCACGGUGGCUCCCAUAAUCCAUGGUGUCUACAGUGCCAUCCAGAUUGGCAAGGCUGGUGACAAUGACUCAGUAACCUGUUCAGUGAAGCACCUUGGCAAAGAGACCCAUGAGUCCCACCAGCCAGAUACUGGGAUCAUUCCUCAGCUUGAAUUAUCCUGCUAUGACCAGGGACUCACAAAACCUGAGCAGAGGAACCAGAUAGUCCUCAGAGUGCUGGGCUUGAGACUACUAUUGAUGAAGACUGUGGCUAUCAACAUCCUUUUUACCAUCAUGGCCUUGAUCUUUUGAUCUUCCUCCCACCCCACAAAACUCCCAUUUUCCCAUUAAUUUUUGUCUGCUCCCUUCUCCCUCAUGCUUCCAUUCAUCAGUCCUCUCCAACUUCCAUCCAUACUCAGACUCCUUUCCCUCUCUCAGUAUCCUCUCUUUCCUUUCAUCUUUCCCCCACCCUAACCCCACAAUCUCAUGUGGUUAUCCUUAUUUCCCUAGCCAUUUCAGUUUCCUUUUUGCCUUUGUCUCCUCUAUUUCCUUAAGCUCUUUCCUAUUUUCAAGUCCUCUCUCUUGCCUAUUAUCCUUUCUGUGUCUAUGGUAUUAUUCUGUGUGUGGAAAAGGGGAAUGAAAGGAAGAGAAUAAGCUGCCUCCAGAUGAGUCUGGCCUCUGACUCCUUGAUGCUUUGACUUCUGAUUUUUGCUUCUCCAGAAGUCUGAAAAACAAAG